CUGCCUGCCUUGUGCUUGGCUGUAUGAUUUUCCCUGAUGGCUGGGACUCAGAUGAAGUAAAACGGAUGUGUGGAGAAAAGACAGACAAGUACACUCUUGGGGCUUGUUCAGUCCGCUGGGCUUACAUCCUGGCUAUCAUUGGGAUUUUGGAUGCCCUCAUCCUCUCGUUUCUGGCAUUUGUGCUUGGUAACCGACAAGACAGCUUGAUGGCAGAGGAACUGAAGGCAGAAAACAAAGAUGAUGGAAAUGCUUAAAGCACACUAAGGUAGUGUGAGACCACGCCAUUUCUGCUAAGCCAAUAUUCUCUAGAAUGAGCACAAAACAAAUCAAAUAACAGCUAAACAAAUUGAAUAACAGCUUUUGUACAUCAACAUCGAGAAGGAAGACGCUUGGGAGAGAUCAGAGUACCGAGAUGGAUAUGGGCGAGAGUGAAGCGUCCACUGUCAAAGCACCUUCUAAAUCUAGAUCGGCAGAGAUGGGAGUGAUUUUCUGGAAGGAGAUAUGAUCACGGAUUAAACACCAGCUCAUUGGAAACUGUCAUUGAAUAAGAGCAGAUAAUAUUCAUGAGAAAUCACAUUCAGGAAAUAUUUUAAGGAAAAGGAAUAUAAAUGUGCUAGAAUUAACAUGUAAAAUAUAUAUGUACUGAAGUUUGUUAACUGUCCUUUUUUAAUCAAACAGAAAACAGAAAGCUUUAAUCUUUAAAGAUUAUUUUAAAAAAGGCAGUCCCUCCUAAAUUAUUCCUAUUUCAAUAGCCAAGAAGCUGAUCAAGCAUCAGUUAUGGAGGAAGCAUCUUGGAAAAUGCCUGUGAAUGUUUUCAUAGGAGCCAUGACCUUUGGUUC